rnacentral:lncRNA from 1 species
GUGACGGCGCGAGCUGGCUGUUCCAGAUCCAAAACACUCUCUGCAAGUUUCAGUCGGCCGGCACGUAUAUCUUACAGCCAUAUGGAUGUCCUUGCUGCAACUGGGAAGCUUCAUGUCAGCUAACAAGGAGGAUUCUAGCGUUUGGGAGCAGACAUGCACAGGCCAUGAUAAACGAACAUGGAAAGUGAAUCACCUGAAUUAGGUGGACAAGUCCAUGAAAUUGAUCUGGUGAUCGAUUCCCUUCAAAGGGGAAGGGUUGUGUAAGAAUCUAAAUGUUAGUAUGAGAAGGGAUAAAGAGGAGAGCUGUUACCAUCUGGAGGCAAAAGAGGUGAAAAAAAUCGCUGAUGCUUUCGGUUCAGGAAUCAUAUGACUGCUACAGUUUGAACCCUAUUGAAAAAAUCAGCCAUCAUACCAGACCCCAAGAAACCCUGUCCUUCAGAACUCAACCACUAACCCUAACCGACCAG